CUCGCGAUCUCAGACAAAUUUUGCUACAGAAAGAUAAGAUAGGCAACAACUUUAUCUGCUGAGGUCUUCGUCUACUGCAGCUAAUUUCUAGCUUAUUCCAAAAAAAAAGAGGUUUCUUUACAAUUACACGAAAUGAACAACCAAUUUUGCUACAGAUAAGCGGAGUACCAGAUAACAACGAUAUACAGGCGCCAUACCUUGGGCCAAUUUGUUUUGCUUCGGGCGGCGGCUGAACAAGAAAAUCUUUCACUUGGUGUAUCUUCCCAGCUAGAGGACUAAAUCAUAACCAAGGCUAAAGAGAGAUUUAGGAGAAGGGAGCCUUGCAGGAAAGCGAACGAAGAAUUCGUGGAAAGUUGGGCGGAGAUUCAAGAGAAAUUCUUUGAUUUGGUCGCCUCCGCCUCUGGCUUGGCCACCGGGACGGCCAGGAGCAGAGAGAAUAGAAUACAAGAGAAGAGAAGAGAAGGAACAAAACGUGUCGUCGUCAAGCUCAAGGUCAGACAAAGAAAAGCCUCUGUUCAAUUCAACCUUUGGGGGCUCAACAAAAUAGUCGCGGAAGGGUGUUAAGUUUUGGCUAUUCAUCAGAUCUUUAAGCGCCAAGGCAAACUGAAACCUUGGCUAAGUUUAGUUUUGAUC
rnacentral:lncRNA from 1 species